CCGAUGCUUCCUGGGAUAGGCUCCAGGUUCCCCGUGACCCUGAAGGAAGGAUAAGCAGUGAUGGAUGGAUGGAUAACUUGCUUAUUACCUGCUUAUAAUUUGGACUUGUCAGUGUAGCAAUAACUGCGUGAGGUCUGUGCAAUCACGCCACACACUGUAUCUAGUCUAAUCUGUGAAAGUUCGGGUGUUGACGCUGGGGUAUGCUGAUAGUGAUGCGGUUUGGUUUGGGACGGAGCUGCUGUCCGUGUAAUUUAGGAAGCCGUUUGGGAUUUUAGUGAGGAGUGCAGAUGCAGCGAGGACUUGCGCUUUAAGCCCGUCCCAAAUCAUCAUGAAGGGGGGCGCGGACACUCCAAAACUCCAGUGCGUAAAAGUUGAUCCACAUGGGUUAUGCGCGCACACCGGGCAUCCGCGUGAAGGCUUUUUAAUCCGAUUUUUUCCUUCUUAUUAAAAAAAAUUAAAUGCCUCCUUAACACCGCGGAUUUUAUCCUUCAAGACCUGUCAGGAUUGGAGUGAUUGAAGUGUUUUCUGUGGACUGACCGAUGGAAACAUGAGCCGAUUUUAUUAUCGCAUGCUUCUUUUCCCAUUUACUCUCUUCAGUACUGUUUUACUUCCGACUUCUGGAAAAUCCCAAAAUGAAGCUGACAGAAACGGGGUGUACCCCGCCUUGUACCCCAUGCUCCCUGGAAUAGGCUCCACUCUCCCGAAGACCCUGUAGGAUAAACGAGAAGAAUGUCCUGACAAUAAGAUUUUAACAGUGGAGUAUCCGUGUAUCAGAGCAGGAGGAGAGCGUGGCACAUGCCUCAGGAGGAAGUGCUGUAAAGGUUUCAGGUUCGUCAUGGGCCAGUGUGUACCAGAAAGUAGGUAAAAUCUUGUUUUGUUUUAUUUUUUAAAUUCUCAUCAGCUUUUUAAAUUCACACACUCUGCGGUUAUUAAAACUGAUUAACUACAUGUUCUCAGUUCGUUUCAUUAUAUUUCAUUAUAUUUGAUCAAUCGACCUUUUAAAUAAAGUACUUUCAGUGCGGUAUCAGGUCGCAAUGCUCUUCUUGACCACCAGGGGGAUUAUAUUAUAUUGUAAAUACUGUACAUAGACAUGAACAGAUAUACUGUAUGUACUGUGUGUGUGUGUGUGUGUGUGUGUGUGUGUGU
ensembl:lncRNA